GCUUAAACAUGCAGUCGAGCGGGGAGGGUAGCUUGCUACCUGACCUAGCGGCGGACGGGUGAGUAAUGCUUAGGAAUCUGCCUAUUAGUGGGGGGCAACAUUCCGAAAGGAAUGCUAAUACCGCAUACGCCCUACGGGGGAAAGCAGGGGAUCUUCGGACCUUGCGCUAAUAGAUGAGCCUAAGUCAGAUUAGCUAGUUGGUGGGGUAAAGGCCUACCAAGGCGACGAUCUGUAGCGGGUCUGAGAGGAUGAUCCGCCACACUGGGACUGAGACACGGCCCAGACUCCUACGGGAGGCAGCAGUGGGGAAUAUUGGACAAUGGGCGAAAGCCUGAUCCAGCCAUGCCGCGUGUGUGAAGAAGGCCUUUUGGUUGUAAAGCACUUUAAGCGAGGAGGAGGCUACUUAGAUUAAUACUCUAGGAUAGUGGACGUUACUCGCAGAAUAAGCACCGGCUAACUCUGUGCCAGCAGCCGCGGUAAUACAGAGGGUGCGAGCGUUAAUCGGAUUUACUGGGCGUAAAGCGUGCGUAGGCGGCUUUUUAAGUCGGAUGUGAAAUCCCUGAGCUUAACUUAGGAAUUGCAUUCGAUACUGGGAAGCUAGAGUAUGGGAGAGGAUGGUAGAAUUCCAGGUGUAGCGGUGAGAUGCGUAGAGAUCUGGAGGAAUACCGAUGGCGAAGGCAGCCAUCUGGCCUAAUACUGACGCUGAGGUACGAAAGCAUGGGGAGCAAACAGGAUUAGA
rnacentral:rRNA from 1 species